UUGUUAAUUAUACUUUAUUCAUUGCAUAUAUUCUGAAUAAAUUAUAUAGAAUAAUUUAUUACAUAAAAUAAAUUAUUAUAUUUAAUAAAAUAAAUAUACUAUUUUAAAUUAAAUUAUUAUAUGAAAAAUUAUAUUAUAAAUUACUAUAAAAAUAAUUUUAUAAAUAGUUUUAUAAAACAUAUACUAAUAUAAAUAAAUUAUUUUAUUUUUAAAAAUAUAUUUAGACAUUGUUCUAGACUUUUUAUCCAAAGGCUACUAAGAAUAUCCUCUAGAAUAUCCCCGAAUGCAUCCAAACACAAAUUUAUAAUUGUUCUAUCUUGUACCGGAAUAUCCCCUGUUCUCGGGAACAACAAAAAUUGUUCUCCAAAAUUUAGUUCUCCAACCAAACACAGUCUUAAAUGUCUCCUACUUAUCAUUCAAAGUGCUAUACCCA
rnacentral:lncRNA from 1 species